ensembl:lncRNA
UAGGGCAUGACUUUCUGAGGAAAGGCUGACGUUUGACUACUGAGAAAUAAUUAAAAGAAGCCCCUUGUGCUGAGUUCCAGAAUUAGAAAACUUGAUUAAAAAAACCCCACAAUUACAUUUCAAGAUCCUCUUUUAAGGCUUCACCUGUUAUAACUAAACCAGUCAGCUCCUGACAGCUGGAUAAUGGCUCAGCUGAAGAACACACAUGGAGCAGGGUACUGCUGCAUGCAAAUGCCAUGGGAAAAACAGGAGACACAAGCACAGAAGGCAACCAGGAGGUUUUUAAGGACAAGUAAAAGGAGAUGAAAACAAGAAAAUGACUGAAAUGGAAAUCUCAAAGACUGCCAAUCAAGGAACAAUUUGAUUAUUCAUCACAAGCACUCUAGUUUCAAGAGUAAAAAGUCUUAAGUAAGAAGAGAUUAUGAUUACCUUUGUGGAAGCAGUUCAGCUGCCCAAGGAGCUGUGAUAAUGCCAUCAGAGCUGCACAGAAAAGCCUUCCUGACUGGCCCAGCUACUAUGGACAUAUAUCCUGAUGAAGCAAAAAAUGACAUUAGAAGUUUAUUUUUGGGCAGCUUUUUCCCUCAGUCAG